AUUGAACGCUGGCGGCAUGCUUUACACAUGCAAGUCGAACGGUAACAGGCCUUCGGGCGCUGACGAGUGGCGAACGGGUGAGUAAUGCAUCGGAACGUGCCCAGUCGUGGGGGAUAACUAUCCGAAAGGAUAGCUAAUACCGCAUACGAUCUGCGGAUGAAAGCGGGGGACCUUCGGGCCUCGCGCGAUUGGAGCGGCCGAUGUCAGAUUAGGUAGUUGGUGGGGUAAAGGCUCACCAAGCCAACGAUCUGUAGCUGGUCUGAGAGGACGACCAGCCACACUGGGACUGAGACACGGCCCAGACUCCUACGGGAGGCAGCAGUGGAGAAUUUUGGACAAUGGGCGCAAGCCUGAUCCAGCAAUGCCGCGUGCAGGAAGAAGGCCUUCGGGUUGUAAACUGCUUUUGUACGGAGCGAAAAGGCUCUCUCUAAUACAGGGGGCUCAUGACGGUACCGUAAGAAUAAGCACCGGCUAACUACGUGCCAGCCGCCGCAGUAACAC
rnacentral:rRNA from 1 species